rnacentral:rRNA from 1 species
UACGUAGGUGGCGAGCGUUAUCCGGAAUGAUUGGGCGUAAAGGGUGCGCAGGCGGUCCUGCAAGUCUGGAGUGAAACGUAUGAGCUCAACUCAUGCAUGGCUCUGGAAACUGGAGGACUGGAGAGCAGGAGAGGGCGGUGGAACUCCAUGUGUAGCGGUAAAAUGCGUAGAUAUAUGGAAGAACACCGGCGGCGAAGGCGGCCUUCUGGGCCACGACUGACGCUGAGGCGCGAAAGCUAGGGGAGCGAACAGG